CAAUAGCGUAUAUUAAAGUUGUUGCGGUUAAAAAGCUCGUAGUUGGAUUUCUGCCGAGGACGUCCGGUCCGCCCUCUGGGUGUGUACAUGGUACGGCCUGGGCAUCUUCUUGGAAAGCGUAUCUGCACUUGACUGUGUGGUGCGGUAUCCAGGACUUUUACUUUGAGGAAAUUAGAGUGUUUCAAGCAGGCCUACGCCUCGAAUACAUUAGCAUGGAAUAAUAAGAUAGGACCUCGGUUCUAUUUUGUUGGUUUCUAGAGCUGAGGUAAUGAUUAAUAGGGAUAGUUGGGGGCAUUCGUAUUUAACUGUCGGAGGUGAAAUUCUUGGAUUUGUUAAAGACGGACUACUGCGAAAGCAUUUGCCAAGGAUGUUUNCAUUGA
rnacentral:rRNA from 1 species